rnacentral:misc_RNA from 1 species
ACCUUUUAGCAACGGAUCACUUGGCUCUCGCAUCGAUGAAGAACGCAGCGAAAUGCGAUAAGUAAUGUGAAUUGCAGAAUUCAGUGAAUGAUCGAAUCUUUGAACGCACCUUGCACCCUUUGGCAUUCCGAAGGGUAUGCUCGUUUGAGUGUCAUUGUACUCUCACACUCCCGAUGCUUUUGGAUUGGGAGUGGUGGACUUGGGUGUUGCUGCUUUACUGUGGCUCACCUCAAAUGGAGUAGUGCAACUCUUGGUUGGACAUAGUACGGCGUGAUAAGUGUCUUCGCCGGCGCCUCAUUAGAGGGUGGCCGAUCGGGAGCUCUGUGCUUCAAACCGUCUUCGGACAACAUCUGACAACUUGACCUCAAAUCGAGUAGGACUACCCGCUGAACUUAAGCAUAUCAAUAAGCGGAGGCU